rnacentral:rRNA from 1 species
AGCGAACGCUGGCGGCAGGCUUAACACAUGCAAGUCGAACGCCCCGCAAGGGGAGUGGCAGACGGGUGAGUAACACGUGGGAACGUACCCUUUGGUUCGGAAUAACUUGGGGAAACUCAAGCUAAUACCGGAUAAGCCCUUAUGGGGAAAGGUUUACUGCCGAAGGAUCGGCCCGCGUCUGAUUAGCUAGUUGGUGAGGUAAUGGCUCACCAAGGCGACGAUCGGUAGCUGGUCUGAGAGGAUGAUCAGCCACACUGGGACUGAGACACGGCCCAGACUCCUACGGGAGGCAGCAGUGGGGAAGAUUGGACAAUGGGGGCAACCCUGAUCCAGCCAUGCCGCGUGAGUGAUGAAGGCCUUAGGGUUGUAAAGCUCUUUUACCCGGGACGAUAAUGACUGUACCGGGAGAAUAAGCCCCGGCUAACUUCGUGCCAGCCGCCGCGGUAA